GGCUCGUUGGUCUAGGGGUAUGAUUCCUGCUUGGGGUGCAGGAGGUCCCGGGUUCAAAUCCCGGACGAGCCC
rnacentral:tRNA from 1 species